GACAUGCUGGCCCAAUGGCUAGCGCGUUGGACUCCGGAUAAAGCAGUCCAGGUUCGAGCCCUGGCUGGGGUCA